AAGUCGUAACAAGGUUUCCGUAGGUGAACCUGCGGAAGGAUCAUUAACACGUAUCCAAACGUUAAAAACCCCCCGUGAACCUUCAUCCUGCUCUUGUAACCCGCGUAGUUCGCAAUCUCUGCUAAAUCAUAGCCCGGAAAGUUGUAGUGACUCAGAGACCUCUGGCUCUACGUGCGAACAUUGGAACAGUUACAAUUGAGCGGUAGUUUGAUUGUGCAAGGAUAGCGCUUCUACGAUUCCUGUAGACCGUACACUCGGGCAGGAGCUUUGCCAAAGCUCAAUGUAAUACAUUGGGUAGUAAAAAAACCGAACAACUGUUAACAAUGGAUAUCUUGGUUCUC
rnacentral:misc_RNA from 1 species